rnacentral:misc_RNA from 1 species
UAUGAAGAACGCAGCGAAAUGCGAUACGUAAUGUGAAUUGCAAAUUCAGUGAAUCAUCGAGUCUUUGAACGCACAUUGCGCCCCCUGGUAUUCCGGGGGGCAUGCCUGUCCGAGCGUCAUUGCUGCCCUCAAGCACGGCUUGUGUGUUGGGCCCCGUCCUCCGAUCCCGGGGGACGGGCCCGAAAGGCAGCGGCGGCACCGCGUCCGGUCCUCGAGCGUAUGGGGCUUUGUCACCCGCUCCGUAGGCCCGGCCGGCGCUUGCCGAUCAACCCAAAUUUUUAUCCAGGUUGACCUCGGAUCAGGUAGGGAUACCCGCUGAACUUAAGCAUAUCAAUAAGCGGAGGA